AACGCCAUCCACUCAACGCCAUCCACGACGCCAUCCUCGCGCUCCAUCGCCGUCGCCGCGCCUCGUGCUCCAUCGCCGUCGCCGCGCCUCGCCGUCGAGGGCCCAGCCGCGCCUCGCCAUCGCAGUCGAGGUGGUCCUCGCCCUCGCAGUCGACGGCCCAGCCGCCCCUCGCCGUCAACGUCGACGACCCAGCCGCGCCUCGCUAUCGAGGGCCAGGCCGCGCUUCGCCGUCGUCUUCAAGGAAAUUCCAAAUCCAACUCCGGAGCGAGCGCACGGGAGUCGGGAGGAGAGCGGAACUCCAGCCGCUGCCUACACACAUCAGGCGAGCUGCUCCGGCCGCCCGCGCCGAUCCGCCCGCAAGCCGCGCGCGGAUUGACUCACCGCAAACCCCAGGCCCUCUCCCCGCCUCGCCUCGGCCAGAUUCGGCUGGCGGUGGGGGAGCUCCGCCCCGAUUCGUGCCGCUCCAAUCCGUCGCCAGUCCACGGGUUUUGCGAGGCUAGCGGCAGAUGGUGGUGGAGGACUACCAUGUGGUGGAGCUCGUCGGGGAUGGGUCCUUCGGGAAGGUCUACAUGGGGAGGCGCAAGUACUCUAGACAGACGGUUGCCAUGAAGUUUAUACUUAAGCAUGGGAAGAACGACAAGGACAUCCACAACCUAAGGCAGGAGAUCGAGAUUCUGAGAAAACUCAAACAUGAGAAUAUAAUUGAAAUGAUCGAUGCCUUUGAAACCCCUCAAGAGUUUUGUGUCGUCACAGAGUUUGCACAGGGAGAGCUCUUUGAGGUGCUCGAGGAUGAUAAGUGCCUUCCAGAAGAACAAGUUCAAGCAAUUGCUAAGUAGCUGGUAAAAGCAUUGUAUUACUUUCACUCCAAUCGUAUUAUCCACCGGGAUAUGAAACCUCAGAACAUCCUUAUUGGAAAAGGAUCUAUUGUCAAGAAAGGCUGUUCGGGCAAUAUUCUCAGAAUUCGACGAAACGAAGACCCAACAUCUUAUUUUUCCCAGAAGCAUCCAGAACACCGAAGGAGAGUCGGAGAGGGGCCAGGGGGCCACCACACAACAUGGCGGCGCGGCCCCAGGCCUGGCCGCGCCGGCCUCCUGUGAGGGGGGCCCAGGCACCCUCCGACUCCGUCUCUUCGCCUAUACAAGCCCUUUCGACCUAAAAACGCGACACCAAUUGACGAAACUCCAGAAAGACUCCAGGGGCGCCGCCACCAUCGCGAAACUCCAAUUCGGGGGACAGAAGUCUCUGUUCCGGCACCCUGCCGGGACGGGGAAGUGCCCCCCGGAAGCCAUCUCCAUCAACGCCAUCGCCUCCAUCAUGCUCCGUGAGUAGUUCCCCCAUGGACUACGGGUUCUAGCAGUAGCUAGUUGGUACUCUCUAUCCCAUGUACUUCAAUACAAUGGUCUCAUGAGCUGCCUUACAUGAUUGAGAUCCAUCUGAUGUAAUCGGUGUUGUGUUUGUUGGGAUCCGAUGGAUGAUACAUUAUGAUUAGUCUAUCUAUAAAGUUUGUGAAGUUAUUGUUGCUGCAA